rnacentral:lncRNA from 10 species
CACAACUGGACAGAGAGGUGACACAAGAGGGCAGCCUGAAGCCUAGCAAGUCCUCUUCGGGGAAGAGACAGCAGAGUCCCACCUCUGAUUUCCCCAGGGAUACAAUCCACACGCACACACACACACACACAGAAGCACACACACACACAGCUAGCAGACACACACAGCUAGCACACAAGCACACACAUAGCAAGUGCACAUACACAACGCGUGCACACACAGCACACACACAGGGUGCGUGCGCGCACACACAGCGCACACACAAGCGUACACACAGCUAGCACACAGCAACUGCACACACACACAGCAAGCGCACAAGCACACACACACAGCAAGCAUGCACACACAGCUAGCACACACACAGCAAGCGCACACACAGCUAGCACACACACUAGGCGCACACACAGCACACACACACAGCUAGCACACACACACAGCAAGCGCACACUAGCGCACACACAGCACACACACACAGCAAGGGCACACACACACACAGCAAGGGCACACACACACACAGAGCUAGCACAGAGCAUUUUCUUCUUAGGCCUGCUCAUUCUUCCCAAAUCAGUUGAACGUCAUUUAAAAAAUGACCUUGUCUUACCAAUCACAGCAAGUAUGACAUAAGAUAUGAAGUUUCCAAACUAAAAAUCUAGUUUUGUGUCCUAUUAUGACAUAAUUU